rnacentral:misc_RNA from 1 species
AACGCACAUUGCGCUCUUUGGUAUUCCGGAGAGCAUGCCUGUUUGAGAAUCAGUAAAUUCAUCAACCCAUUGUUCCGGGAAUUUAUUCCAAGAACUUGAAGGUUGGAUCUGGGCCGUUUGCUGCUUCGGCAGCAAUAGCCUGAAAUUGAAUGUUACGCUCCUAUGGACUGUGAAGUCUUGGGCAAACGCAUGAAUGAGGUAACUCAGAAGUACGUAGGCCUUUGAGAAUGAUCAAUUCUUAGUUGGGUGACUCAACUGAUUAACCAGGGUUUGUGGGCGCAAGCCUGCUUAUUCUGAACACUUGGUCUCAAAUCAGGUAGGAAAACCCGCUGAACUUAA